UGGGGAAUUUUGGACAAUGGGCGAAAGCCUGAUCCAGCAAUGCCGCGUGCAGGAUGAAGGCCUUCGGGUUGUAAACUGCUUUUGUACGGAACGAAAAAGCUUCUCCUAAUACGAGAGGCCCAUGACGGUACCGUAAGAAUAAGCACCGGCUAACUACGUGCCAGCAGCCGCGGUAAUACGUAGGGUGCGAGCGUUAAUCGGAAUUACUGGGCGUAAAGCGUGCGCAGGCGGUUAUAUAAGACAGAUGUGAAAUCCCCGGGCUCAACCUGGGAACUGCAUUUGUGACUGUAUAGCUAGAGUACGGCAGAGGGGGAUGGAAUUCCGCGUGUAGCAGUGAAAUGCGUAGAGAUCAGAAGGAACAUCCGUGGCGAAGGCGGCAUCCUGGGCCAACACUGACACUGAGGCACGAAAGCGUGGGGAGCAAACA
rnacentral:rRNA from 1 species